UGAUGGUUUCAAUGACGUCUUUGAAGAGGAUCUUGGAGGUCAGAGUGUAGCCAUGGUGCACGAUGGGCUCCCCGUCAGGCCCAUCCCAGCAGUCCACUGCAGGCGCACAGGCCUCAGUGGGUUCCAGGGCCCGGACCACCACUGCCCAGAGACCCCCAGCCCGUGCACGCUAACCGGAGGCGGUCCUCCUGCGCCGCAGUUAACACCAGGAGAGACGCAGCCCGGCCCCGGCCAGGCAGAGGGCAGGAACCGUGCCCAGGGACUCCAGAGGGCUCCUCGGGGCCACCCCGCCCUCCCACAGGAGACAUCAGCCCACGGCCUAGGCCCGGCCCCUGGGGCCGAGGGGCGUGCUGGGUCCCAGAGCCCCAGCACUCACCCUCCACGCAGCGGCAGCCGGCCUGCAGGACCCAGGCGUACAUGUCCACCCUCGACUGGGACAUGAGCUGGUCGCCCACGAGGUGGCAGCAAGACAGUGAGGCCUGAGUGAGGUGGAGUUUGCUCGCCCGUCCCCACCCGGAUCCAGGACCUGCUGACACCGCCUUCCUCCCCCGGCCCAGCAGCGGUUCCACAAAGAGAGAAACUAAUUACAGACAAUAAAGGCCGCCGCUCAGCUGAG